ACAGCACGUGCGCAGUAAAAACUGGCUGCAAUGGCCUGCAGCAAACCACACUCUGUGUCUGAGGUCGGAUUCCACAAAAGCAGAUGCUGAGACAGAGAUUCAGGACCCAGGCAUGCUGCUCCCCAGCACGUCCCUUCUUUAGGCACACAGGGGGCCUCCCAAGCAGUGACAUCUGAGGAGUUUCAUCAGGAGCCACCUGGGGUGACUGCAGGUACUUGUCCAUCAUCUGUCUCUUCCACUAGGAUGGACAUGCCAUGGGAGCAGGGACCUGUCUGUCGGCUGCCACUGUAGCCCUGACCUAGGACACUGCCUGGCUCUGAGAGUCCCGUUGAAUGAGUAAAUGUUUUAUCUUCCUCUGCGCUGGCACUGGAAGAUCAUCUUCCAGAGGUAAAGAGAUUUAAAACAAAAGUUGAAAAUAAAGAAAACCUGGA